UCGUCGAGUUGGGUAUUGUAUCGAGUAUAGAAUACAAUCACAAGUCGGUAGAAUCGGCUCGUAAAGGACAAGAGGUUUGUAUCAAGAUCGAGCCUAUACCCGGCGAGGCACCAAAAAUGUUUGGCCGUCAUUUCGACGAAAAGGAUUUCGUCGUUAGCAAGAUAAGCCGACAAAGUAUAGACGCCUGUAAGGAUUACUUCAGGGACGACUUGUUGAAAACCGAUUGGCAAUUAAUGGUAGAACUGAAAAAACUCUUCCAAAUACUCUAGGACUCGCCAAGGAGUUCGCGAUGAUCCUCGCGCGCGCGAACAUAAGAAAAAAAAAUACCGUGGGCCGGAUUCUUAGGGACAACGAGGCAAUAUCCUUGAAGAAGAAAGAACAGUAGUACAUUAUAUUCUACGACGAUUAUAGAACGGGAUAAUUAUUGUAGCACUCUAUAGACGAUAACAUCUUCGUCCUCGAUGAGAUAAAGAAAGAAAAAAGGACACGAAAGAAAGAUAGAAGGAAAAAAGAUGAAGAAGAAUAUCGAUAAUGAUAAUAACAAUAACAAUAACAAUAACAAUAAUAAUAAUAAUAAUAAUAAUAAUAAUAAUGAUAAUAAUAAUAAUAAUAAUAAUCGUCAUCGAUUACGACGACGUCCCGACGGCGAUUUCUCGAGUACGUUCGUUCAUACGUUUCUUUUUUUUGGGGGGGGAUGAUGGGAGGGGGGAAAGGAAAAGAAAAAGAAAAAGAAAAACGUCCCGCGUUGAAAUGCCGCAACUUCCUCUCGAUAUAAAAAUUCGAGAGAAGGAAUGAUUAACGGAAAGGAAAAAAAAAGAAAAAAGAAAGAAAGGGAAAAAAGAGAGAGAGAGAGAGGGAGAGAGAGAGAAAAGAAAGAAAAGCAAACGAACGUGAAAGAGAGAGAGAAAGAGAGAGAGAGAAAAUAAAAAGAUAAAAAAGAUAAAGAAGAAGAAGAAGAAGAAAAAGAAGAAGAAGAUUUUUAUUUCCGUCAUAAUCCGUCGUGUGUAAGUAAGUAAUUACUUCGGCCCCAAUCGUCAUCGUUCGAAGGUCAACGAACCUUCCCUUCAAUUCGUUCGCGUAAAAGUUCUCCCUCUUUCGAAAAAAGGGAGGAAGAAGAAGAAGAAGAAGAAGAAAGAGAAGAAAAGGAAAGAGAGAGAGAGAGAGAGAGAGAGAGAGAGAGAGAGAAAAGAAAACUUCGAGAAUCUGAAAUAUAUGUUAAUAGUACGAAGGUGCGAAAAAACUUUUGUUAAGAAUGAAGAUGAGUAAUUGCACUUACGCGUUGAAGUCGCUUACGAGUUUUCCGCUACGAUGCGCUUACAUCGUCAUGUCUUGUCCCCUCUUAAAAUUCUGACUAUUGGGACGAUGCCGUUAUAAUCCAAACAAACUCGUCAAGUUAUUUGCAAUCGAUAAAUAUAUAUAUAUAUACUAUAUAUAUAAAUAUAUAUAUAUAUAUAUAUCUUUAAUAUAUAUAUAUUAAUUAUAUAUAUAGAUAUAUAUAUAUAUAUAUAAAUGUAACUAUAUCUAAUAAUCCUAUUCGCCGAGGAGAAAAGACACUAGUGAAAGAAAAGAAUAAUCUUUCAUCGUCUCGUCGACUUCAAUCCAUCUCUGUAUUUAUCUCUCUCUCUCUCUCUCUCUCUCUCUCUCCCUCUCUCUUUCUCUAUAUUUAUCUAUCUAUCUUUCUCAUUGUCUCGCUAUCUCUAUCUCUAGCUCUGUCUCUGUCUCUUUGUUUCUAUCUUUGUCUUUUGUCUCUGUCUCUCGAUUUUUUUCUCUUUCCCUCUCUCUCUCUCUUCUCUCUCUCUCUCUCUCUCUCUCUCUCUCUCUGUCUCUUCAUUUAUCUUCGUCGACUUCUUCAACGUUAAAGUACCGACAAAAAAACCAAUGCUCGACGUAUUAUUUCUCCCUGAUUCUCUUCGCAUAAAUACCUUACCUUACUUACUUAUUCGACAACUGUUCUGUCGAAACAAAGUUGUUAGUAAUCCUUUUCGAGAGACGGAUAGAAGCGAUUUAGAUAAAACGAAUAAAAAUGGAAGAAAGGAAGGAAUAAAUAGAAAGAGAGAGAGAGAGAGAGAGAGAAAGAGAGAGAGAGAGAGAGAAAGAGAGAGAGAGAAAAUGAAAAUGUGUCUACGGUCGUCGACCAUAGAGUCUCGAACGAAACAUAUGGUACACACGAUACAUCUCUCUCUUUCUCUCUCUCUCUCUCUCUCUCUCUCUCUCUCUCUCUCUCUCUCUCUCUAUUACUCUUUGAGAAACCGUCUGUGAACCGAAGGGAAAAAAGUAGUAGUAAAAGAAGAAGAAGAAAAAGA